rnacentral:rRNA from 1 species
AGCAGCAGCCGCCACGGGAAUACGGAGGGUGCAAGCGUUAAUCGGAAUUACUGGGCGUAAAGCGCACGCAGGCGGUCUGACAAGUCAGAUGUGAAAUCCCCGGGCUUAACCUGGGAACUGCAUUUGAAACUGUCAGGCUGGAGUCUUGUAGAGGGGGGUGGAAUUCCAGGUGUAGCGGUGAAAUGCGUAGAGAUCUGGAGGAAUACCGGUGGCGAAGGCGGCCCCCUGGACAAAGACUGACGCUCAGGUGCGAAAGCGUGGGGAGCAAACAGGAUUAGAUACCCCGGUAGUCCCUGUCUCUUU